rnacentral:rRNA from 1 species
AGCGAACGCUGGCGGCAGGCCUAACACAUGCAAGUCGAACGAACCUUUCGGGGUUAGUGGCGGACGGGUGAGUAACACGUGGGAACGUGCCUUUAGGUUCGGAAUAACUCAGGGAAACUUGUGCUAAUACCGAAUGUGCCCUUCGGGGGAAAGAUUUAUCGCCUUUAGAGCGGCCCGCGUCUGAUUAGCUAGUUGGUUGAGGUAAUGGCUCACCAAGGCGACGAUCAGUAGCUGGUCUGAGAGGAUGAUCAGCCACAUUGGGACUGAGACACGGCCCAAACUCCUACGGGAGGCAGCAGUGGGGAAUCUUGCGCAAUGGGCGAAAGCCUGACGCAGCCAUGCCGCGAGAAUGAUGAAGGUCUUAGGAUUGUAAAAUUCUUUCACCGGGGACGAUAAUGACGGUACCCGGAGAAGAAGCCCCGGCUAACUUCGUG